rnacentral:lncRNA from 1 species
GUGAAUUUAAUAAGACCGACAUAAUACAACAUGCGCCCAAUUUUAAGGAAGGUCAAAUUCAGGGAUUAGUUGAUGGGUCAGUUGAAGUAAGUGGGUCGACUAUACAUAGUAGAUCGAAACCGUAAUAAGAGCUACACCUUCCACCACAUCUUCGUCAGUUACACUGUGGAGUGGCAUGUUCUCUGCGUGCACCUGAAGUAGCAUAAGUGUGAGGACUCCACUUUGACCUGCGAGAAAUAUUAGUUGUACGAAAUUAAAAUAGAUAUCUACAAGGGCAAUGACUACAAACCAUAGAUGUAGAAUACCUGAAGUUGGGGAUUGUAAAAUAGUCUUAGCAAUGGAAAUGUUGAAGGCGUCUAGGGUGUCGUGUCUCAUCUCUACAUUGUACGCAAAUUUCCUGAUAAAGUGUGGAAGAGAUUCAGCAAGUGGAACUAAGAGAGUCUGAGCAAUACAUCCGAAUCUGGAGAAGCACAUUAUUUGCCAUUCUGAUAAGUACAGAGAAAGUAGACAACUAUUAAUAGACAAAAAUACUAAUUGGACGGAUUUGCUAGAUACUUGAUUUUGAUAUCGUAGAUGAAUAGCAAUGUUGAAACAUGAAAUGGACGGAUUUCCAACUAUUUCGUAAUGGUAGUUAGAAAUCGACAAUUAUAUACACUACUAUACACUACAAUUAUCUACAAUUAGAUUUACGUUUUCAAAUAUAUUUGUAGAUUUGAAACUACUAUAUGUUUGAUGUUGAGGAGGAUAUAUUUGAAAACGUAAAUUGAAAAAAAUCAUAUCUGUAACUUAGAUCUAAAUGGGAUGAACAAUGGUGGAUUUCGUAGAUGAACCUCGAAUCAUAAACAAGCUACGAAGAAAAAUGAAAAGAAGAAGGAGAGAAAACCUGCUCAAGAUGAAGAUUGUGAUGGAAACACGAGAGAGAGAGAGAGAGAGAGAGAGAGAGAGAGAGAGAGAGAGAGAGAGAGAGAGAGAGAUAAUGUUGACGGCGUUGGGAGAGAUUCGUCUCGGUGGCGAGGGAUUCCAGGUCGGCGGUGGAAAAAUUUUCUUGACUGUAGGAGAAAAUAAAAAGAAGAAAAUGAGAAAUUUUCUGUUUGAAUUUGAAAUGAGAAGAAAAAAGAAAAUUAAGUAG